GGAAAUUCGACCAAUUUAAUGUCGCAUUUGAAAAACAAGCAUAAUGAUGCAUACAUUAAGUGUUCAAAAAAGAAUCCAACCAAAUGCGAGGAACAGCUCGAAAGCAAACCUGAUGACCAGCUCACCAUUGAAAAAUCGUUUAUGUCUGUGCAGGAAUCUUAUAAAGAAAACGGUUAUAAG